rnacentral:rRNA from 1 species
UAACAAGGAUUCCCCUAGUAACUGCGAGUGAAGCGGGAUGAGCUCAAAUUUGAAAUCUGGCGGUUCCGCCGUCCGAGUUGUAAUCUGGAGAAGCGUUUUCCGUGCCGGACCGUGUACAAGUCCCUUGGAACAGGGCGUCAUAGAGGGUGAGAAUCCCGUCUUUGACACGGACUCCCGGUGCUCUGCGAUGCGCUCUCGAAGAGUCGAGUUGUUUGGGAAUGCAGCUCAAAAUGGGUGGUAAAUUCCAUCUAAAGCUAAAUAUUGGCGAGAGACCGAUAGCGAACAAGUACCGUGAGGGAAAGAUGAAAAGCACUUUGGAAAGAGAGUAAAACAGUACGUGAAAUUGUUGAAAGGGAAACGCUUGAAGUCAGUCGCGUCUUCUGGGACUCAGCCUUGCUCUGCUUGGUGCAUUUCCCAGUUUGACGGGUCAGCAUCGGCUCUGGGGGGCGGACAAAGGCGYGGGGAAGGUGGCAGCUCCGGCUGCGUUAUAGCCCCGCGUUACGCGUCCCCCGGGACCGAGGAAUCCGGCGCUCGCGCCUGGGAUGCUGGCGUAAUGGCUUUAAACGACCCGUCUUGAACCACGGACCA